AACCGGGAUUGCAUUUAAUUAUCCCGUGACCCCAGGUGGCCUACACCUCUCCAUGCCUGUUAGCCACUGAGUGCUAGCAGAACUGCUUAGCUGAAAGCUGCCUUUUGCAUGUUGAUGGGCAUUGCAAAUCCUCCUACAGAGUCGUCUUUCAUGUCAAGACAAUAUCAAGCACAGCAAAACAUCACCAUAUGUCCUUCCCUCCACUUCUCCCUGUGCUUUGCAGGUCAAGAGACAGAGGGAUAACUGACAAGGUAGAACUGGCACAAACCUCCAGGCAAGAUGAUUAAAAGCAGAGCAAAAGAAUAGGCCAGUAAAACUGCAUUCAAGACUAACAGAACAGGUCUGUUCUUCAACCCACCACAAUUUGAUGUCAGAGUUCUGAUUAUCAUCAGCCUCUUCAUUCUUUAGCUAAAUUCUAAAACAGAUUUGCAGGGAGAAUGUUUUUGAGACUUGAACAAGAGAAGAUUUUGAAUAAGUUAGUUCAGCACGGAUUCCUAAAGUGAUUUUCCACUCAUCUUAUCCAAGGCUUCACUCAUUCAUAUGAUGAAAUAUCAUGGGAAGAAAGUCACAGUGCUUACUGUGCCAGGUGCUAAACUAAAAUGAUGAAAAUGAAUUAACAAGGUGACCCGAAGACUGCAGUCUCCUGCUGCUUUUGUCUUGACCUCUAGAGUUCCCCAGCACCCUGGUCAGACUUCCCAUUUUCUCUAGUGUUUUUCAUGUUUGGAAGUCAGUGACCUAUGCGAAACAGCAGCAAAUCUAAUCGCCGUGUGUCAGAACGGAGGAGAAGGAGAAGAGAGAGCUUCCCACCCCAAGGACACUGUUUAUGCCCUAGAGUGUCAGGCCAGUGCGCUCAUUAACAGACGAUCAAAAGCUUAGUUCAGUGGCAAGCUUUCAGGAGACCAAGAAGAAGCCAUACAUGGAGUCACACAUUGCUCUCCUUUCCCAGUUCCCACUGGGAUCCUUCACGUAUUUAGGUGUGUGCAGGGAGCUGCAGCUUACAGUACAUUGCUGGAGACAGUAUUGCAGUUAGCCAUCAUUCUUAGCUGGAGAUGUUGUGUCCCAGCAAGGUCUGUGGGAGAGGAACUGGUACCCUAAAUGUGUGAAGGAUUCCAGUGGGACUUGGGGAGCAGCCCUUUACUUUGAAAAGGCAGCUAUUCCCUGGUUCAGGCAGUGAGCUUCAAAACCGAGCAGUCUGUUUCUGUAGAAAUGACAAUGCACAGGCAAAGUGAACCUCAACAUUAAUCUACAGAGUAGCAGCCUUCAGGCAGUGACCUUUCAUACCCAGCCCUUCAUUCCCUUGAGUGCAAGAACUGGGCUCCUUUUUCGUGUUUGUUGUGCAAAAAUUUGAAGUGAAACAAAUGUACUAUUGGCCUGUACUGAGGCUUAGAAAAACAGCAGGAGGUUUUGAAACAAUGGCAAGCAGCAGCUACAGCAAGCUGCCUCAAGAGACAAGCUCUUCUGCAACAUUCAGAGCAAUAGCUGUCCAAGUGCUCAAAAAGGAUAGUUAUUUAGGAGAAGAUAAAGGUAUUCCACAGAAAUUUCUAUUCACAGUGCUAAUGCUCUCUCUGACAAGCUUUUCCUCUCCUUCUAUUGUUAUUCAUUUUGACCACAAAGCAAAGGGAAUGAAGUUGCUACAUUUUAUGUAACAGUUUCUUGAAAUUCUGGCUUGCAAGAGAGCACAGCAAGGAAGAUAGAAGACAGCUCAGACACACUCAUUCAAGCAUGAUUUACUUUCUUUGUGUAUGAAGCUUUCUGUGACUUGCCAUGCCAUGCUACGAAUGUGUUUUUAAUCAUCAGGACUGCUGAUAGAGAGAAAUGUAACAAGAAUUGGCCCUAGGAGGGCAGCUGAAUUCCUUCUUGCUUGGUGAGCUCCUACCCACCUGGUGAAUAUCGGCAUCUCAAAACUAAAAGACAGACCACUGUAACAAGCUCCAGCCCCAGAAGACAUGAAUCUGUUUCAUGAUAUCCACUUCUUAUUCCAAGCUUUGGUGGAUAGUCAUCAACUGUAUGAUGAAAGUAUUUCUAAAGCACAUCUACUUUUUUUCUCCUCUCCUGCUGGGCUGAGUGGGUUGGUGAAAGGGAUAGCAGUUGUAACAAUCUUCUGUGCAUUGCUCUAUUGGAUCCAAUUGCACAAAACACUGAUUCAGACCUGCACUGACUGCUUCAUGCAAACCUGGACCAGCUUGAAUGGGUCAGGCAACAGAGACUUCCUAGGAGCAUCAAUGUGGGUUUUGAUCAGUGUGGGGGUUCUUCAGUGCUGCCCCUGCAGAACUUGUGUUGGCCUUGGGUGUAGCUUCUAUGUUGCUUUGGUAGUGAUAACCGUGCAAUGUGAUAUUAGUCCAGCAAAUAUUGUAGCUAUCCUUUGUGCUUUAGAUCAAGUUCCUUUUUAAUUUUGCAGACAUCUGACUCAUCAGUGCUUCACAUCUGGGUAUCAUCACUUCUCCCAACGGGAUGUGCCUGAGGUAGCUCUGACUAAGGAAUUGAAGGACAUUUUUGCCCUUUCAUGCUAAUCCUUUAGAAGGGAAAGCCAAACCCAUGCCCUUUCUCACCUAAUAAACUCUAACAAUGGAAAAUCCUUAAAAAAAGAGAAACUUGACAGUGCCCACUAUAUAUAGAAAUUGUGGUAGAUAAAGCUCUGUGGUUGAAACAUAGGGAAGGAGUAGGAAGUGCGAUCUUUAUCAUCUUUGGUAGUCAAAAGCCUAAGUUCCCUGCUGCGUUACUAACAGAGGUACCUGGUGCUGUGUGGCACUCUUGUUCAGAAUGUGCCCUACUGCUCUCUGAUUGCAACUUAAAACCUUUAUGAAUCAUUGCCACCAGUCUCACUGAGGCCAGCCACUUAGUAGGAUUCAAAACAUAAUUAAACAUUCAUGUAGAUAAUCAAACCAUCCACAGCUACAUUAGAUGUGUUCAAAUUGUAAUUAGGGAUAACUCUUCAUGCUUUUAAGGCAUGUUAAAGCUGGCUUCUAGUCUUAAUACAUCUGAUGGUGUGUGUUUAUGUAGGUAAACAGGUGGGAUGGUUGAGGCCCUAGUUUGAAAACCAAUCCUUAAUGACUGUGCUGCUGUGUUUCACCCAGCCACUCUCAGCUCGCUUUUCACAACGCUUUUUUUUUCACAGCUUCUGGCUCCAAGAUUGUUAUCAAUAGUCCAGAUGCUGCCUCAAAGCUGAGAGGGAAAAGUAAUGAGUCUUUCAGACAAACCAUCCACAACAGUCCAGAUUCUGAUCUCAGGCUCACUGACAGAAAUUGGAACAACUCAACAGGCUUUAAAAUUCACAGUUAUUUGGCUUCAGAGCCAGGUAGCUGAGAGCUGACUCUGACUAAAAGGAUACUCCUUGGGAGCAUUGCGGAUCCAGAGCUCAAAGCUGAGAGGACCCUGUUCUGCCAUGGGACUGCAGAAUCUCUCUCCUGCAGCUGCCAGCAAAAAGUUUUGUCUAUAGACCCACACUCCUUUACCAUCCUAAUGGGCACAUUCAGGCUGCAUGAUAAAGAGUUUUUCUUCAUGGGAAAACAGCAUUCAGUUUGUGAACUUAGAGGGGAUUGUUUGCUACAUUUACUGUGGAGGUGAACAGUUCACUGGAGCUUUCAUGCUCACCCAAAUUCACCCACAUGGUAUUACACGCAUUGCUAACAGCAAUUCUUAUUUUUUUAAUUGCGUAUGCACAACCCAGUCAUUAGAGGUUCUGCUAUAAAUCCAAGACUGAGCAGAGAGGCGACAUUUUUUAAAUUCAUGGUGGGAAAGGUCAGAAAAAGUGGAGCAUUUUUCACAGAGAGGAUUCAGUCUGACUGUAAAACAGAAAAGAAAUAAAACAGUUUCCUUUUUGCCUCCCUCAUCUGAGUAUGCUAUAAACCUAAGGAAAUGCUGAGUCUUAUUCAUUUUUUUAUGGCUUUACAGUUCAAGAAGUAGAAACCCAUUUGACUCUCAAAUGUUGGGGAAAAAAUAAUUCCUGAACUUGUCACCAUUCUUUCCUGUCUUUUGUGUCUGUACCUAAGGCAUGCUGCCAGCUUUGUGCCCAUGGUUUUCAGCACUAUAUCAAGAAAGAUAAAUAUGCAGUUUUCUAUAGAAAGCAAACAUGGCUUUUGGUCACACCUGUGUAAAUCCAGUUAUAAUUCCAGAGAGGUAAAUAGCAGAACUCCAGGUUUUCAGCAUUGUAAAUGACGCCAGAAAUGGAGUUGUUCAAACCUACUUGAGAGAGAAAUGAUUUAUAUAGAAGAUUAUUUGAUGCCACCUUUCUUUUCCUUCCCACAAUUUGCAUGUGUGCCUGUGACUUUAUAAGGCCCUGACAGAAGGAGCAGAGGCUGUGUGACAGCUUGCAAGGAGACCUUCUGCAGAGACACAUCCAGCUUGGCCAGUGAAAUCUAUCUGUGUGGCACCUGUUAGUUACGCACAGCAGGACUGUCCAUCAUCUCUUGUAGUAGCUCUGCAUUUCCAUAGCACACUGUGGUGCAGGCAGAGGAGAAAUUACUCUCUAACUAUGAAACAGUGAAUGAGAAAUUUCUGCUCCUGUUUAUGCUGUCAGACCACCAUCCGGGAUGCUGUACAUCAGCUGGAGAGGGGGAAGGGAAUGUAGUUGAUUCCACAGGCAGCUGCCAAAUCUCGAUCCUCAAAACAAGCUCUCAAGCAUUUAUCUUUGCUUUCUACCUCAUAAGAUCCUGUAAAAAUAUUGUUACCAAGUAGAUAAAUGUUUAAAGAGGAAUGUGGAGCACCUCAUGCCAUUCAAAAGGGAAAAUAGUCCCAUAGUGUAAAAAGAUGUAGUAAAACAAAGAGCAUACACUGUCUAUGCAUUUUGUGAUCUAAUGCCCAAAUCACAAAUGGAUAGACAGCAAUUUCCACUGCUGAACUGCAGCAAGAUGUCCUUGGGGAUACUUGGACUGGACUGCUCUAGUAUGAGGAACAGAAGGAAAAAAAGAAUAUCAUAUGGAAGUAUAAAAAAAAUAUAAUAUGGAAAUAUAACA